UACGAAGGGGGCUAGCGUUGCUCGGAAUCACUGGGCGUAAAGGGUGCGUAGGCGGGUCUUUUAAGUCAGGGGUGAAAUCCUGGAGCUCAACUCCAGAACUGCCUUUGAUACUGAAGAUCUUGAGUUCGGGAGAGGUGAGUGGAACUGCGAGUGUAGAGGUGAAAUUCGUAGAUAUUCGCAAGAACACCAGUGGCGAAGGCGGCUGACUGGUCCGGUUCUGACGCUGAGGCGCGAAAGCGUGGGGAGCAAACAGG
rnacentral:rRNA from 1 species